AGGGUCACCCGGCCGUGUCGGGGUUCGCCCCGCGCUGCUGCUCCGGUGCCAGCGAGCAUCUAAGCAGUUGCCGGCGCCGCGGAGCCCGGGAGCCGGGAGAUGCCCGGCGGCGCCGGGGCCCGGCUUCCCGGGCACGAACGGGAUGAGCACGCAGCGAACAGCCCCCCUCAACCUGGGUAUCCCUGGGUGCUCUGUCCCCCGCUCAAGUUGGGGGCCCUUGAAUUGUAUUGCCUCGUUAAAGUUUAAUAUUUGGGGAUAGGGAGGAGAGUUUCAGCUUCUGUUGUGGCGUCUUUUCUUUUCCUGGCUGUUAAGUACUUCCAGAUGGGAUUUAGACCCCAGACGUAACAAUAUUUCCAUAUUUGGUAUAGCAGUAGCCCGCAUUUUUCACAUUUUUCUGCUCUGUUAUCCAACCACAAAGCAUUCUUGACAGCUUCAGAUGUUGUUAAAUAUAGCCUUAACUUCUGUUCCCAGGGCAGGAAAUUCUUAGGAAUUCCUGUUUUUCACGCAAUCUGUCUAUCAUGAUUUAGGAGAACUCUGCUGGAGGAGCCAACUGGCGUUCUGCUGCAGUUCGCUUCUUUAUUGAAAUAGCCCAGCAGUUGGGUCUGCUGCCCAAAGGCGUUACAAUGAGUCCCCAUUCCAGGGAUUUUUCUUUGCAAAUGAGAUUACUGUUCCCAACACGAGUUUGGGGUUUUUCUUGUCGCCUUCAAGGCCGGAAGCGGGUGUCCCUGCGUGCCGCCCGCCCGGGACGGGCAGCCGGGGAGGGGAGGCAGCCGCAGCCCCGCCGCUCGGAGGAGCCGAGCCCGGUCGUCUCGUCGCCUGCCCGGUGCCACGGCCCAAAGGGUGACAGCAAGGACGGUGCGCAGGGCUCCGGCCUGUGUCUCUCCGGGGAAAGGACUUUCCAGAGAAACAAAUCAAGAAAAAAAAACUGGCUUAAUUUCCAUCCACCCAGCAACAGUUCUUCCUAGCUGUACAAAGGGACCAUGGAGCAGCCAGAAGGGUUGUGUGGGACAGAGGCUCCCCAGGUGCUCCCACUGGCAGAUGAGAAGACUGUUGAUAGCACACUCUUUCAGUUGUUGCUGAGCAGUGCUUGCACUAAGUUGAAGACUUUUCAGCUCCUCCCCCCACUCCACCAAAGAGGCUGGGAAGCACAAGAAGCUGGAAGAAGACACAGCAGAGACAGCUGAUCCCAACGGGCCAAAGGGACAAUUCUGUAUCAUAUGACACAUGGUCAGUAUGUACACUAGGGGGAAGCUGGCCAGGGGCCCCUGCUUGGGAACUGGCUGGACACUGGUCAAGGGAUGGUGGGGAAUUGCCUUGGGCAUCACUUAUUUUGUAUGUUCCUUAUUACUAUUCCUAUUCCUAUUACUCUUACUUUGCACCCUUUUCUGUUCUAUUAAAGUGUCUCUGUCUAACCCACAGGCUGCAUGUUGCUCCCCAUUCCUCCCCCAGCCCGCUGCAGCCCAUGAGCGGCUCUGUGGUGCUCAGCUGCCUGCCGGGUGAAACCACAACAGUGUUUACCUACCUUGGGCUGGGCCUCUCCCGCAGCCUCUGCCAGGCCGCUGGUUCCUGCUGCACUAAAUCAGUCCUCCCUGACUCAAUGGCUCCACUCAGUCACUCACAGGAGGUGCAAAUCCAGUGGGGCAAAUUAAGCAUAGCAAUGCACAGGCAGAGCUGCCAAGUAGCCAGGAGGCUUCGGCAGCUAAAAUUCAAGUGGGUUCAGAAGUUUUUCCUUGCUUUGAUUUGCUCAGAGUUUAUGCUGAAUUCUUUUGAGUAUGGUAUUUCCUAUUUGUUUUCUUCCUCUUCCUUACUGCCCUCCCUUCAGCUAAGCUCAUGCCUGUCAGUUUUUGUACAGUCUGUGCCUUGCUUGUGGUUUCUAAUAUGUGGGGUUUGCUUUGCAGUAUUUGUGCAGUGAAAGAUGCUGUGCUUUGUGAGUGUGCUGCAUUUUCUCCUGGCUGCUGUCAAGGUGUCGUGGAGGUUCCCAUUGUGUGGAAGUACAAGGGCGACUUGUAAGCCUCCUUAUCCAGCAGGGAAACAGAGAAGGAAAAUCUGAUGUCAUAUUCAGUUGUGCUUAUUUCUGCUUUGGUGUGUGAACUGCAUGGCCAUACUUGCAGCUUACAUGGAUACAAGGAUAUCUGCAACUGACAUGGAGGUGUACUUCAACACUAGGCUACAUCCAGAAGAUGCAGUUUGCAUCAAGCACCUCCCUAUAGCUGAAGUUUGCAAUGCUGAGACUGUUGUGGGCUGUGUCUCUCUAUGCCACAAAAUAAAAAUUAUCAGGUGGUCCUAGCUGCACCUGGCUGCAUAUGUAUUGGUUAUGUCUAUUGUUUUCAUCCCAUGCACUCAUGAAGCUGAAAACAUCUUAACUUUAAACUGUGGUCUUCAGAGUGCAGAAUUUCCCAGUGGAGCUGUGCAUGUGCACUGACAUCAGCUAAGACAAAAUAACCAAGCUCAGAAGAAAGUUGCUCAUGAUCUCAAGGAGUUACUGGAGCCAGCUGAACCUGAGAUUGCAGUCAAUUGGGCUGUGCCUGAGAAAUCCUUGAUCAAAGCACACUUCCAGGCUGUGCUCUGUAAUGGUUGUCAGCUGCAGUCUGCCUUAGUCUACAGCCAAACUGCACCUUGGAGACAACCAGCUCCUGCUUGUAUCUGCACUGUGGGACUGUCUGCUCAGAACACGCACUCGUUGGUAGGUUCAGGUUUGUUUCUUUUCCCUGUCUACAUUUGAAAUAUACUACAAACUCUUCUUUUCCCAAAAGUGCUUUCUUUCAUUGUAAUUAAUAAUGACAACUACAUUUCCUUCAGGUUAGUCUGUGUUAAGGGUAUGGGAACCCUUUGCCUUCCUGCUGAUGCUUUCCCUCCCUCCCUCCCUGCUGUUUAUGACCUGACAGAAUAGUUUUCUCUCACUGAUUUGUGGACAUUCAAAGGAGUUGCCUAGCCUUUAAUUGUAUUAACAAGUUUUUGUAGAAGUUUUCUUGAAAAACUAAGGAAGUAUUGAUUAAUUAUUUUUUUCUUUGCACACAAAUGGGAGGAGAGGCCUGCUCUGCAGGAUGCUGGACAUGCUCUGCCACACAGUGCUUUCUGUCACUUACUGCGCUUUCCAGGCUAGCUGCUGGAAAUGUCACUGGAUUAAUUUCAGAAUCCCCUAAGGUGCCUGUUGGCUUUGUCCAAAAUCAUUAUCAUUCUCUGCUAUGUACUCAUUUUCUGUAACUAAAACACAGUGAGACCUUAGCUGUGUUUGCUGCAUUACAGUUCAUUUCUAUUCUGCUCCAUCUGGACUCCUACCCUUUUCCCCCCAGUACGUUCUGUGAGCACCUUGCAGUGGCAGCUAGCUAGCUGUGUUCUUCUCUUGGGCAUGCUAAUUUCAUGAGCUAAGUGAUGCAAGAAAGUCAGCCACCACCUCCUCCAGGGGCACUCCACUGCUGGAAAUUAGUUACUUCUGCUUCUUGCUUCCAGUCUGUGAUAGUGCAGUGCAAAAAUCAAUAGUGGACAAACAAUUAGACACAAUGUCAUCCUUGCAGAUAGGGAGGACUUGGAGGCAGACAGCAGAUCAUGUAUGUGCCUUAGGAAUGUUCCUGGAAAUGGAGUUAUGAUCCAAGACUGUGCAAAUAGCUGCCCAUCCCAGUGUUGCAUGCCUGUGAUGGGGAAGAAGUGCUAAACCAUCUCUAGACUUGACUAGCAUACAAACACAAAAGAUCUGUCUUGUUAUGGGGAGCUGGUUGGGGUGAUUUUUCUAGGUGAGUAGAGAAGAAACUAUAUGAAUGGAAUCUUUCUUUACCUUCUCUCUGCUGGGGGCUAAAAUAAAACUGGAGGGAGGAAGGUAGUGAGAGCUGCCCUGAGGAAGGGUGCACAUAUGGGCUCCAUCCAGCAGCUGUGUGCAGAGCCUCAGGGAGAAGGACACCUCUUUGGGCCAGCCAGGAAGCCUGUCUCCUGCCCACUGCUUUCCCAGCCACCAGUGUUCUCCGGAAGUGGAAGGUUAGCAGAGGCUAUCAGCAGACUGCUUUGGUGCAGAGACUUUUUUAUGACUGCAUUAACAUCACUUUUCCUGUUGUUGUACAUAAGUUAUGGCUCCUAGUAUCAGUGUUGAGAUGAAGCCCGGAGCUCUUCUGCAUGAAGCAAGCAUUAAAAGCUAGCUUAUACACUAAUUGUAAAAGAAAAUUAGUUCUGGCCACCAGCUAUUUACUUACAGAUAAGUUUGCUUUUGUAUUUUAAUUCUUUUAACACUUUGCAUCCAUCUCUAUUUUCUUGUACACACUCAACCACGAGUUUGCCAUUGUCCUCUCUCACUGCCUAACCUCGAGUCUGCUUCUAUUAGCCCCCCCAUAAGCUCAGAUCUCAGACUUACAGGAUAAUUCAGGAUCAGAGCAGAGAAGUGGUGGAUAGGAUGGGUCUUUCAGGCGAGCAGUGUGUGAUGACAUGAUAAUGUUUGUAACUGGCUUGAGAGGAGAGCCUCUGGUUCCAAGGAUGUACCCAUGCAGCCUUUAACAGUGCCAUGUCAAAAUAAAAAUCAUUGAUUAAAA